UUUCCAGUGCCCUCUGCAAUGUCCCUCCAUGGCCAAGUCUUCGAAUGGUGCAAGACUCACGCAGCUCCUGUAUGUCCCUGCCUUUUGACUUCUCCUGGCGUUUCUCUGGAUCUACAUGUACCUCCUAGUCCUGACUGAGCUUGUUGUUGAUAGCUGACCCUUCUUUUUGUGUGCAUAACUUGUAACCCAUGGUAUGCUUGUUGUACCCCAUUCCUAUAAAUCCCUUUUUGUGCGUAGAUCUCCUUUUGAUGCUCAAUGACUUUUGUCCCCUGUGUCAUAACUGCAUGCAUCAUGGUUUUAUGUUUUGUGUGCUGAAUCUGUAUCAAAUCUCCUCUGUGUAAAUAGGUUUAGUACUAAUCCGUAGGGAUGGGAUUUGGGA